GGAGAGACAGAGAGUGAUGGACACAAGAGAAGCAGAGGCAGAGACUGACAGAGAGACAGACGGAAGCAAAAGCAGACACAAGAGACACAGAGCACGGAGUGCAGAGAGAGACACACAGAGAGGGAGAUGGAAGACUCAGAGAGAGAAACGCAGAGACGGAGAAGACUGAGCAUCAGAGAGAUCUGGGAGGGGCAGAGACGCAGAGAGGCGAGCAGAGAGACAGACAGAGAAGCAGAGAGAUGGGGACAGAGACACAGAAGCAAGGAGACACAGCGGAGAAAGGAGCCAUCCACAGACCCAGAGAGAGAGAGAUGCAGAGAGGCAGACAGACAGAUAGGAGAGCGGAGAGAGCGAGAUAAACAGAGAGAGGAGAGCCAGACACACAGACGCAGAGAGAGAGAGAUGCAGAGAGGCAGACAGACAGACAGGAGAGCGGAGAGAGCGAGAUAAACAGAGAGAGGAGGACAGCCAGACACAGAGAUGCAGAGAGAAGAGGCUAGAGGCAGC
ensembl:lncRNA